GACGAACCGAGCGAACGUUGUUCGGAAUCACUGGGCUUAAAGGGCGCGUAGGCGGCCUGUUAAGUCGAACGUGAAAUCCCCGGGCUCAACCCGGGAACUGCGUCCGAUACUGGCAGGCUUGAAUCCGGGAGAGGGAUGCGGAAUUCCAGGUGUAGCGGUGAAAUGCGUAGAUAUCUGGAGGAACACCGGUGGCGAAGGCGGCAUCCUGGACCGGCAUUGACGCUGAGGCGCGAAAGCCAGGGGAGCAAACGGG
rnacentral:rRNA from 1 species